rnacentral:tRNA from 4 species
GCCGAGGUGGUGAAAUUGGCAGACACGCUAGAUUUAGGAUCUAGUGAGCGAAAGCUCUUGGAGGUUCAAGUCCUCUCCUCGGCACCA